GAAAAGAAAGUAUAAGAAAAAGUUUACUUCUCGUGAUAAGUCCUCUUUGGAUAAGAAAGAAAAGAAAGUUUACAAAAAGAAGGGUAAGAAAGAUUAUAAAAGGAUUAGAUGUCAUAAAUGUAGUAAAUUUGGGCAUUAUGCGAAUGAGUGCAAAACUCAGGAAAGAUUAAGAGUUUGGAUCUGGAUGAAAAAAUAAAAGAUUCUUUGUGUAAGAUUU
rnacentral:lncRNA from 1 species